GUUUGUUAAAAGAGUCGUCACUGAUGCCAUCCUGUAAUAAGCUACUUCAGACUACGAAUCUUGUUCAACAGUUGACCGUCAAACGCUAAUUGAAGAUUCUGAGAGGUCAAUAUCCAAAGAUCUUUCGUUACCGCGCAGUUCUACCAAUCACGAUGCUUGCCUGCUGGGAGAAUAGAGAGCGAGGGAAAUUCAAUAAUUCAGAUUAGCAGACGAACGGACGCAAGCUGCAUCACAAAGAGUAGACUGAGUUAGAGGCCUUCGCUACGGGAUAAUUGCAUGUAAGGAUGUUUCGCAAAAUAUUCCAGUGUCUAUUACUAGUUUUGCUGGCCCACUUGGAAGCGGGUGAAAUCCGAGGACUGUCGCCGUAUUUCUUCAAACGUGCACCGAGAAAUCUCAAGGAAAAAGUAUUUCACUGGUCUUCAGUUUAUCAAGAUGAUGCAUGGUGUUCUGAGGUUUGUGAUGCGAAAAUCUGUCGCAUGAUUGAGAAGAACGGAAGAUUUGACAUAAGUUAUAUUGACUGUGAUUGUGGACUGCACUGUCACUGCCUGUACACUGAAUUCAAUGAUUAUCAUAAGACAUACGUCUAUAGAUGUAUGCCAGCAUUCUGACUUAUGCAAAUUUUGCAGUGUAAAUGUUAUUUGUCAUUCUGUUCGGCGUUUUACACGUUCUGUUGCUGUCUCUGUGUGCAAAAACACAUUUACUAGAGUGCGUUUCCCACGAGAAACGUUAGCUAAGUUUUAACUGCACAAGAAAGAGCUUUCGAGUGGUAUCAUUGUCAGUCAUUCUAUAGACGUCAACACUACUUGAUUGUCGUUUGUUCCUCAACCAAGUGUUUCUAACUGUGUAACGAAAUUUUUUCAAUGUCAAUUUUUCGGUUUUUAAAAAUUCGAUUUCAUUAGCCCCUGAGCAGACUCCUAUUAUUAGAGCUGCCGGAUGCGCGUUUCUUCUCCCGCGGGAAGAAUGGAGACGAGUUGAAGAUAGGUUUACUGGGGGUCUGGCACUAAUAAUGAGUACUGGACCCCUUUACAGACCUCUCACGGGCUCGUGUUCCUCAAGGUCUUAUACUUUCCCGUGGGCGAAGAAACGCUCGUGUUUAAGCGCCAUAAAUGAAGGCUUGCUCGCAAGCUAAAUCUCUCCAAAAAAAUUCAUGUAGGAAUAGGUUUAGUCGACAAAAACCAACAUGUUGGUGUAUAGCUGAAGUUCAGUUUUAACUUUCGUAAUAUCUAGUUAGGAAAAUAAAAAUUUGGGAAUCUUUUGGGA